AUGGAUCCUCCACAUGAACGUUGCCAGAAGCAGCGAGCAGCAUGUUGCACUAGACGUUGCAAUGUCGUUGAGCGCGUCAUGUCCGUCUCCAACAUUGGCAAGCGCCUGAAUACCGUCGUCACCCCGGAGCAAUGCGUACUCCUGGACGUCGCCCAUGCCGCCGAGCGUGAAGCGGCGUCGCAAGCUAACUGCGAGCGCUUGGAUAACCGGGAGCAUGUGGACGUCUACUAUGUGGACGUCUCCAAGACCAUGAAAGAAAGAAAGGCGAUCUCGCUGCCACCAGCAAAGAGUUUCCUUGUGCCACCAUCGUCCGACGGCUCCCCUCUGCCAAUGACCUCGGUCGUUGGUGGUGGUGGUGGGUCUAUUCAAGUAAUAAGGAUGGCAUGGUGGCAGCGACAUCCUCGUGGUGGACAUGUGUCAUCUGUGUCCAUUGUUGCGAUGACGUUUGCUCCAGCGUCGACAUGGAGCUUGAGAGGUAGUCCAGAAUCGGAUGCAAAUUGUGGUUUGCAUCGGCAACAUAUGAAAGAUGGUGGAUCCCGCUGCCCAGGUUGCCACUUUAUAUUGUCACCGUACACGGUUAUCAUCCCUGAGGCAUUGGAGCUAGCUCACCUGAACGUAUCCUUGCACCACCAAUAUAACAUAGACGAGGAGAUCGAUUCAGAUGAAGAAGAGCUCAAACCGUACAUCAUAAAGGACAAAUUUCACCAUCCAGUCUACGCAGACGACUUAUAUUGUCGGGCGGUGACUGUUUGGAUCUGCAUGCAUGCAACGCCAGGAGCUGGUUUUCAACUUGGCUUCAUGCAUGCAUCGUUGGGUUGGGCGGUUAUAGCCCGAUGUAUCGUACUUUCUGAAAUUUCCAUGGCACUAUAUAUGCGGGAUUCUUUAAGUUGCGACGAGUUUGACGCGCCGUUCAGGGCCAUUGUCUGUGGCCGUGGCGACGGAGCACGCACUGUUGGACAACAAGGUGUGUGGUAUCCGGGCCGGCUGCUAGCAGGCGAUGUGGGUCUCGACGACCUUCUACGGCUCACCGACGAGGCGUUCCGACGGGCAGAAGUCCAGGCAGGAGGCACAGUGGUUGCAAGGUGGGACGGUGGAGGCUGUGGGAGGCCUCCAGACAGUGUGGCCAGAAGCGGUGGUGCCGACGGUCCCGACGGCACGCGGCGCAGGUCGUGCUCAACGGCCAUGGUGACGGCCAGUGCAGGGCACGCGCGACUCUGCGAUGAUGGCUCACAGGUCGACCGUGGGCGGUGGGUGUUGGCAGAGUUUGGUGUGCUUGCGGCGGCGCGACGACUGUUGAGAGCAGCUCCGUGUAGAUGGCCAGCGUAUCGAGGUUCUCGAGUCGCCCGGAGGGGGCCAAAGAUACAGGUCUCCGUGAGGCCGAGCAUGGUGAGAUUGGAGCAAUCGCCGAUCUCCUACUCGUGGGUUCGGCCACUCCGGUGGAGGAUGCCAUGCACCCGACAAGCACAUUGCGCACGUAGCAGAACGUGGGGCAGGCCAAUGGAGGCGUUGUCGCGUGAUCCAGAGCAUGUACGGGUGCAGCUAGAACUUCAAGGUCGUCAUGCCGCCGCGGCCGAUCAGCAAGGAAAUCCACAGAGGCACCGCAACCGCGCGCUCCAUGCCAUGGAGCGGCUUUUUGGCGCAGCCGCCGCUAGCGUGGUCCGGAUAGUUUCUCCAACGAUGGAUGGAAUCUGGGUGGGCAGGAGGCUGAACGGGCGCGAGCUUAGCGGCGUCAUGAACAUCAUCAACAAGCUGCGCCUGCCUCUAUGGUUCUUCUCCUAUCUCGCGCGCGUCGUCCGUCAUGCAGGAUAUGAAUCUCAAUGUCGAGGACCUCGGUGCCCGUCCUUCAGUCCUUGCUAUCCCGGGGCCUUCCUUCUUGAUCAUGACGCACUGGUCAGACGGAGCAACGCGAUGCAGGCCAGCCAGAAGUGCGAGCACUAUGUCAACGCCACCGCUGCGCAUUCCAGGCCUGCAAGGUCAAUCUCCCGCACGAGUGGACGUAUUGAGAUGCAUAUUGCUCUCUUCUCUGCGACCAAGCAUCGACCGUAUCCCUUGGUUUCCAUGGAUCACUAUAUUUAA
rnacentral:rRNA from 1 species